UACGUAGGGUGCGAGCGUUAAUCGGAAUUACUGGGCGUAAAGCGUGCGCAGGCGGUUUUGUAAGCCAGAUGUGAAAUCCCCGGGCUUAACCUGGGAAUGGCAUUUGGGACUGCAAGGCUCGAGUGCGGCAGAGGAGACUGGAAUUCCUGGUGUAGCAGUGAAAUGCGUAGAUAUCAGGAGGAACACCGAUGGCGAAGGCAGCUUGCUGGGACGGUACUGACGCUGAGACGCGAAAGCGUGGGGAGCAAACAGG
rnacentral:rRNA from 1 species